rnacentral:rRNA from 1 species
GGGGGAAGAUGAUGACGGUACCCCAUGAAUAAGCACCGGCUAACUACGUGCCAGCAGCCGCGGUAAUACGUAGGGUGCGAGCGUUGUUCGGAAUUACUGGGCGUAAAGGGCGUGCAGGCGGAUUGGCAAGCCGGAGGUGAAAGCCCGGGGCUCAACCCCGGAGGGUCUUUCGGAACUGCCAGUCUUGAGAGGGUCAGGGGCCAGCGGAAUUCCUGGUGUAGAGGUGAAAUUCGUAGAGAUCAGGAGGAACACCGGCGGCGAAAGCGGCUGGCUGGGGCCACUCUGACGCUGAGGCGCGAAAGCGUGGGGAGCAAACAGGAUUAGAUACCCUGGUAGUCCACGCCGUAAACGAUGGGCACUAAGCGUCCGACGGGUUCGACCCUGUUGGGUGCUGCAGUUAACGCGUUAAGUGCCCCGCCUGGGGAGUACGGUCGCAAGACUA